AUUGAACGCUGGCGGCAUGCCUUACACAUGCAAGUCGAACGGCAGCACGGGAGCUUGCUCCUGGUGGCGAGUGGCGAACGGGUGAGUAAUGCAUCGGAACGUGCCCUGAAGUGGGGGAUAACGUAGCGAAAGUUACGCUAAUACCGCAUAUUCUGUGAGCAGGAAAGCAGGGGAUCUUCGGACCUUGCGCUUUUGGAGCGGCCGAUGUCGGAUUAGCUAGUUGGUGGGGUAAAGGCUCACCAAGGCAACGAUCCGUAGCGGGUCUGAGAGGAUGAUCCGCCACACUGGAACUGAGACACGGUCCAGACUCCUACGGGAGGCAGCAGUGGGGAAUUUUGGACAAUGGGCGCAAGCCUGAUCCAGCCAUGCCGCGUGAGUGAAGAAGGCCUCGGUGUAAG
rnacentral:rRNA from 1 species